rnacentral:lncRNA from 1 species
GCAUACACACCGCAGGAAAAGAGGGAAAAACAAACCUUUGGAAGGAAAAGUCAGAGCAGACAGGUUAAGCCGCUUUGAAAAAGGAUCUCUGGACUCGUCUACGGGAGGGAUCUUUGCACAAUGAUGUAGCCAUGACAUCAGUGUAUCUGCUGCAGUGUAGAUAUGCUGGUAUGAAGUGGGGCGUAUUCCAGUUUGAAGUUGCACCCGUGAACACCCUGCUUUACACCCAUGGAGCACAUCCCCACUGAGUAUUUGCAGAAGUGUAGCUACGUAGCUGCAAAGAUCCCUAACACAGACAAGCUGUCAGUAACUAUGGGGAAGGAAAGGCCCCUACUUCGGAUCAACUCAUUAUCCCGAAUAAACGAUGUGUCAUUCCCAUUAUUUAUGUUUCACUGCAGCCAAAGUAUCUGGACCUCGUUUUGUCAGAUGGCUUGCUAGCUGUAUAUGGAGGCUGUGACCUGCCAAGGGAAAAUUUCUCAGCAGGAGACUCAACAGCUGUAACAACACCUGGAGGAUACUUGGCAGCUGCAAGUCGCAGAUGCUGAGUUCGGUAAUGUACUUUCCUGUACAAGCAUCUGAGUGUUUUGUUGGCUGCUUGA